rnacentral:rRNA from 1 species
UCUGGUUGAUCCUGCCAGUAGUUAUAUGCUUGUCUCAAAGAUUAAGCCAUGCAUGUCUAAGUACACACGAAUUAAAAGUGAAACCGCAAAAGGCUCAUUAUAUCAGUUAUGGUUCCUUAGAUCGUUAACAGUUACUUGGAUAACUGUGGUAAUUCUAGAGCUAAUACAUGCAAUUAAAACAUGAACCUUAUGGGACAUGUGCUUUUAUUAGGCUAAAACCAAGCGAUCGCAAGAUCGUUAUAUUGGUUGAACUCUAGAUAACAUGCAGAUCGUAUGGUCUUGUACCGACGACAGAUCUUUCAAAUGUCUGCCCUAUCAACUUUUGAUGGUAGUAUCUAGGACUACCAUGGUUGCAACGGGUAACGGGGAAUCAGGGUUCGAUUCCGGAGAGGGAGCCUGAGAAACGGCUACCACAUCUAAGGAAGGCAGCAGGCGCGUAAAUUACCCACUCCCAGCUCGGGGAGGUAGUGACGAAAAAUAACAAUACAGGACUCAUAUCCGAGGCCCUGUAAUUGGAAUGAGUACACUUUAAAUCCUUUAACAAGGACCAAUUGGAGGGCAAGUCUGGUGCCAGCAGCCGCGGUAAUUCCAGCUCCAAUAGCGUAUAUUAAAGUUGUUGCGGUUAAAACGUUCGUAGUUGAACUUGUGCUUCAUACGGGUAGUACAACUUACAAUUGUGGUUAGUACUAUACCUUUAUGUAUGUAAGCGUAUUACCGGUGGAGUUCUUAUAUGUGAUUAAAUACUUGUAUUUUUUCAUAUGUUCCUCCUAUUUAAAAACCUGCACUAGUGCUCUUAAACGAGUGUUAUUGUGGGCCGGUACUAUUACUUUGAACAAAUUAGAGUGCUUAAAGCAGGCUUCAAAUGCCUGAAUAUUCUGUGCAUGGGAUAAUGAAAUAAGACCUCUGUUCUGCUUUCAUUGGUUUUCAGAUCAAGAGGUAAUGAUUAAUAGAAGCAGUUUGGGGGCAUUAGUAUUACGACGCGAGAGGUGAAAUUCU